UACAAUUAAUGUAGCCAGUAACCUAAUCCAAGUAAUUAAAUUACUUUUGGGUUACCUCAACACCAAAUAUGCAAAUAACAAGAGAUAAGAAGUAUCAUUAACAAGUAUUGAUGCAAGUGUAUUAGACAACAACAAUGUAACCCUUGAAAAGAAAAUACUGUAAAUUUCCUGCUAAUUAAUAAUCCACACGUUUACAAAAUGUAACUGUAAUCUGACUACGUCUUUUUAAUCCUGUAACAGGAAUGGAUUACAGUUACAUUUUAUUUAUAUCCUUUUUUUAUAUAAUAUAACUCAGUUACAUGUAAUCUGUUACUCCCCAAAUCCUGCUGUUAACAACUUCAAUAUUUCAUCCACUAGAAGGCUGCUGUAGUUUUUUUUUAAGCUUUUAAAGAUAAAAUAAUUAUUUUAUUUACAGAAAUAUGGCUUUUUAGAGAUCCUUAGAGACUCAAACCCCCUUUUGGACGCCACAUUACUGCCACCUGCUGGCUGACAGCCUGCAAGGAAGAAACAUUAGAAAAUAAAAACGUAGCCCAGACAGUCGGUUCAGGGUCAUAAAGGAAAGUAGAGUUCAGACAGAAAUGUCCCGAGUUAAGACCUCAUAUGGACCCAGGUUUGGUUCACAGCUGGACUCCAAUCAAAGAGAUGAAUCAAGACCACAUCAGGCUAUGGACGAGUCUGAGCCCCCCGCUCAGGACCCGGGGGGCAAACGCGGGAACAAGCGGGGUAUUAGUAGCAUUAAGGGUGAAAACAGCCGGUGGAGUUUAAAAGUAAAAUUACCAAACCUCAACAAGAGAGUGACAAAGGAGGACAAACCACCGGGAGGACUGAUGUUACAGCCCGCUGCAGAUAAAGGCGAGACUACCGUGAGCCGAGGAGGACAAACACAGAGCGCUGGCAAUGAUUCAGUCGCUGUUGGUGGAGAUGUUUUCUUUUUCUCCCAAAGACCCACCAGCAAAGGAAUACACACAAAGGAAAAGGCCAAGCUUGCAGUGCUUAGGACCAUCUCCAAGAUGCUGGAGGAGAACCAGCUUAUCAGACAGAGACUGGUCGCUCUCAGCCAGGCCAACUGAGGCUGCACUGACUGACUGAAAUUGCCCACAACCAUAAUGGUACUUUAUCUUAGACAUCAUCAGUUUUUCUCCACAUCAAAGUUAUAAUUAGUGGAAACGUUUAGUUCAUUCAGCAUGGGGUAUUGAAAACCAGUGUUACAACAAGGCGCAAUUUAAUGGUUCAACUGGUAAUGUGCUGUGAGACCAUAAAGCAAUCUGCAUAAAAAUGUAUUUGUCUUUUACACAAUGUUCAGUGGACAGUGUUGUUUUAUUAAAAGAGUCUCAAAUCGCUGUGCUAAAGUGUUUAUUCAAAUUAGUCUGGUAUGUUUCAGUUUCAUAUUAUAGGCAAAUUAAGAUUUUCAGCUGUUACACAUGAGUUGGAUUCACGUUAAUGCAGUUCAGUACAGUGAUUUUGUGGCACAUGGUGCCUUUGUAAAGCUUUUACUGUUCAGUGUAGACUGCGUCUGAGCAUAAUGCAAUAUUUUGUACCCCUCAGUUACAAUGGAUGGAGAAAAUAUUCUAUAUUGACAGUAUAACAGCAUGUUGAAAGAUUUACCAUUAGAUUAUCUUAAUUGUCCACCAGAGGGCACCACCUCCUCUAACAUCAGUGUCUGCUGUGGAGGUUCUCAGUUACUGGUCACACAACCAUUGACUACACAACUCAAUAUACUCUGUGUAUAUUCUGAUAUUGUAGACUUUUUACUCACAGAUGUUUCACCAGCCAUUUUCUUUAGUAACAUCAGGAAACUAAUCAAUAUAAAUGAAUGAGGCUCACUAUUAGUCCAAUUAAAUUUCUCUCUGACAGUUGCAUUUGUCACAUGUUUGUUUUUUACAUUUGAAAUAGUGUCUUGCGAUGUGCUUGAGGAGUAUUUCCCUAAGACUAAGAAUUGUAGUUUAUCCUACAAGCUAACCUAAUUAAUGGCAGUUUACAUGGUUACAAAAGCUGCUGUUUUGUCAGCUGUUACUGUACCGAUUUUAAAAGAGAAUAGUGCCGAUUAUUUCGAAAGACUUCCUUUUUUUUGUUUUAAUAGUCAACUGGCUUUAUUGUAAUUUUUCAAGCAGUUACAGCAUUUUUAUUAAUAAACAAAAAGUGGUUAAUAAGAUUAAAUAAUGGUAUUGACCUGAACUUGUUCACCAAACGUUUCAGUGAUGUAUCUGUCACCAGAGGUUUCAAGUUUACUCCUUUUAUCAGGAUUUAUAUUAGAAAAUAAACAUGAGAGCAGCAUAUGGCUGUGAUUAUUUUAACUGUAAAAUAAUUACUGUUAAACCAUGGACAAUUUACUGUAAAUUGUUCUGCAGUUUCUUAAUGUUUUGAUUG
rnacentral:lncRNA from 15 species